rnacentral:rRNA from 1 species
ACUCCUACGGGAGGCAGCAGUGGGGAAUAUUGCACAAUGGGCGCAAGCCUGAUGCAGCCAUGCCGCGUGUAAUGAAGAAGGCCUUCGGUUGUAAAGUACUUUCAGCAGUGAGGAAGGUGGGUAUGUUAAUAGCAUAUUCAUUUGACGUUAGCUGCAGAAGAAGCACCGGCUAACUCCGUGCCAGCAGCCGCGGUAAUACGGAGGGUGCGAGCGUUAAUCGGAUUACUGGCGUAAAGCGCAUGCAGGUGGUUUGUUAAGUCAGAUGUGAAAGCCCGGGGCUCAACCUCGGAAUUGCAUUUGAAACUGGCAAACUAGAGUACUGUAGAGGGGGUAGAAUUUCAGGUGUAGCGGUGAAAUGCGUAGAGAUCUGAAGGAAUACCGGUGGCGAAGGCGGCCCCCUGGACAGAUACUGACACUCAGAUGCGAAAGCGUGGGGAGCAAACAGGAUUAGAUACCCUGGUA